rnacentral:rRNA from 1 species
UCGAGGAUUUUUCUCAAUGGGGGCAACCCUGAAGGAGCGACGCCGCGUGGAGGAUGAAGGGCUUCGGCUCGUAAACUCCUGUCACCGACGAACAAGGCAUCCGGAUUAAUAAAUCGGAUGCUUGAUGGUAGUCGGAGAGGAAGGGGCGGCUAACUCUGUGCCAGCAGCCGCGGUGAUACAGAGGCCCCAAGCGUUGUUCGGAUUUACUGGGCGUAAAGGGUGUGUAGGGGGUCGUGUAAGUUUGACGUGAAAUCCCGUUGCUCAACAACGGAACUGCGUCGAAUACUGCUCGGCUGGAGGUUCGGAGAUGAGGGCGGAAUUCUCGGUGUUGCGGUGAAAUGCGUAGAUAUCGAGAGGAACGCCGAUGGCGAAAGCAGCCCUCAAGACGAAAUCUGACCCUGAAACACGAAGGCCAGGGGAGCAAACGGGAUAU